GAUCAAAUUGUCGGUCGUGCUUCGGUACGUACUGGCGUUAUUGGUUCCUCCCUUCUGAAGAACCACGAUGUCAUUAAUUUGGUGUCGCGGGAAUCAGGACUGUUACUUUGAAAAAUUAGAGUGUUUAAAGCAGGCUCGCGCUUGAAUACAUUAGCAUGGAAUAAUGAAAUAGGACGUUUGAUUCUAUUUUGUUGGUUUCUAGGAUCGACGUAAUGAUUAAUAGGGAUAGUUGGG
rnacentral:rRNA from 1 species